UUUCUUCAUCAAAGUUGUUAAUCUCUGUCUCUUAUAUCUUAUCUCCAAAUUUCAGCCCUGUUGGAGCAGUUUUGAGACCUGUAUAACAUUUGAAGUGCGAUCUGUUCAGAAGCAAAUUUGCUCCGAAUUUCAACAAGAUGUCGAAUGAACCUAGACUCGAUUUUCCAAUGCUUGACUCAACAGGCUCGGAAUACCAUGGCUGGGUAACCAACGUUGAGAACCAUCUCACUACGAGAGGGAUAUUGCCCAUAAUACAGGCACCUAACCAGGGCCUUGUGUUCCAACGAACACCCACAAAGCAUGCUGCUCAAGUAAUUAUCUUGAUGUGAUACCAUAUGGAUCAAUUGAAGCAUUGGUUCAAGCAAUGCCAUGCAAGUACCCAACUAGCUGCAAGCUACAAGGAGUAUAGGCAAUUGAGAGAGCAAGAAAUCAAUCUUGCUGAAGAUGAAGAUAUCAAUCUUGCUGAAGAUGAAGAUGGUGAAGAUAUCACUCUCACCACUGAGGACUUCAAAGUUGUAAAGAGCACGAGGAUGCCGCAGACUUUGAUUAGAAUAGUCCUUUUCUAUUUUCCAAUAAAACGGCAAAUGUGCCUUAGUCAACAAAUGACAAUUGUAUUGACUCUUUCUCAUGUGGCGUACCCAAUGAAGUAUGAUGUCUAGGAAAGUAAUUGAGAUCGGGGUAUUUAAGCGAGCCUCGCUCCACCAACAUCUCUCUACUUCCCUGGUCAUAUUUCAUUGGAAUUACCAAACGGAUUGGCAAUUACAAUUUGUAUAAGUUUGAUUUUAUUUUGGAAUAGAUUUUGGAAACUUUGAUGUAA